CUUGCUUUCUAGUUCCGGGGAAAGAAGUUGUUUUGUCUGCGGUUCCGUGUGGUGUUGAUGAUUCUGAGACGUGGGUUGUGAUCAAAAACCGAAAUUUCUUCGCAGGGCGAGCGGGGUGUGCAGGAAAUGGAAGCGUGGGGUGAAGUUGUCGCUGGGGCGGAGGGAGAGGCUCAGCUUCGCGGGGCUGAAGAUGGAUGACGAUUCCACCGCCCGCGUCGUUCGCCACGCAUACGCCCUCCGUGAACUCGACAUUUCGAAGAUUUGUUGGGGCUGCCAUAUUACCGGUGAAGGGCUGUACAGAAUUUCACUGACAAAAUGCGCGGCGAAGCUUACGUCCAUCUCUCUGUUGGGGAUGACAAGGGUCACUAACCAAGGUGUUGUUAAGCUGGUAUGUUUGUCAUUUCGAAGUGAUGGUUCGCUUCUGCAGAUGUUAUGUGUGUAGGCUUUAGUCUUGUUCUGUGGUUGGAGCGAUUUCUGGGUGUUGAUGGUCGUUUCUUCAUUCAGAGUUCUGAUGCUAGUGUUCCUCAGUGAUAGUGUCGGCAUUGCUUAUUAGUCAUAUUGUGCAAUCUGAUAAAAAUCAGUGCAAGAACUUGAAAUUGUCAAUA